CUCUAGUCUGACCUGAUCUGGUUUCCCAUGGAAAAGAUCUGAUGCCGUUUGAAGGUUCAUAAAUGGAAUGCCAAUGACAAUUUGUUGUUGACGUUCUGCCGCCUCAGCCCUCAGAUGCUGCCGGUUGAUGUGCCGCUUUAGCUUCACCAAAUAAUCCUCGCAGCAAACCCCUCUGGUCAGCGUCUCACAUGACAAAAGAGGCAGUGGGAGGAAGGUCAGCUGCUGGAAGCCAGUGUGCGAACCGCGACUACACACCGAUGACUACCCACGGUCAGUUUCUCUGCAGCCACUGUGGGUGCGUUUGUUUGAGGCAAAGUUAAAGUAUUCUCAGGUGACUUCUGUUAAAAGAAACCCAUUAUCCCGGCCUGCGCGGGAGCUCCCGGCCUGCGCGACAACAGACCCAGGAAGGACCCAAGGACCCC
rnacentral:lncRNA from 1 species